CAGUAGCCACGGUAAUACGGAGGGAGCUAGCGUUGUUCGGAAUUACUGGGCGUAAAGCGCGCGUAGGCGGUUACUCAAGUCAGAGGUGAAAGCCCGGGGCUCAACCCCGGAACUGCCUUUGAAACUAGGUGACUAGAAUCUUGGAGAGGUCAGUGGAAUUCCGAGUGUAGAGGUGAAAUUCGUAGAUAUUCGGAAGAACACCAGUGGCGAAGGCGACUGACUGGACAAGUAUUGGCGCUGAGGUGCGAAAGCGUGGGGAGCAAACAGGAUUAGAUACCCGAGUAGUCCCUGUCUCUUAUAC
rnacentral:rRNA from 1 species